AAAGUCCCCUUCGGGGGGUGAGUAGAGUGGCGCACGGGUGAGUAACACGUAGGUAAUCUACCUUCGGGUGGGGAAUAACCCAGGGAAACUUGGGCUAAUACCGCAUAAUGCAGCGGCACCACAUGGUGACAGUUGUUAAAGCGGGGGAUCUUCGGAUCUCGCGCCUGAAGAGGAGCCUGCGGCAGAUUAGCUAGUUGGUAAGGUAACGGCUUACCAAGGCGACGAUCUGUAGCCGGCCUGAGAGGGCGGUCGGCCACACUGACACUGACAUACGGGUCAGACUCCUACGGGAGGCAGCAGUCGGGAAUUUUGGGCAAUGGGCGAAAGCCUGACCCAGCAACGCCGCGUGAAGGAUGAAAUCCCUCGGGAUGUAAACUUCGCAAGAAUGGGAAGAAUUAGUAGGGGUUAAUACCCUCUAUGAUGACGGUACCAUUUGUAAGCUCCGGCUAACUCCGUGCCAGCAGCCGCGGUAAUACGGGGGGAGCAAGCGUUGUUCGGAUUUACUGGGCGUAAAGGGCGCGUAGGCGGUCAGCACAAGUCAGUUGUGAAAUCUCCGGGCUUAACUCGGAAAGGUCAACUGAUACUGUGCGACUAGAGUGCAGAAGGGGCAACUGGAAUUCUCGGUGUAGCGGUGAAAUGCGUAGAUAUCGAGAGGAACACCUGCGGCGAAGGCGGGUUGCUGGGCUGACACUGACGCUGAUGCGCGAAAGCCAGGGGAGCGAACGGGAUUAGAUACCCCGGUAGUCCUGGCCUUAAACGAUGGAUGCUUGGUGUCUGGAGUUUUAUAGUCUCCGGGUGCCGUAGCUAACGCGUUAAGCAU
rnacentral:rRNA from 1 species